CGCUGGCCCGCACCGGCCGCCGCCGGUGAAGAAACGUCUGUCAGGGUGCCGGAGCCUUGCGCGGCCUGGUGGAUGGCAGGCGGAGCCUCCUUGUCUGGAAAUACCUAGACCCGCCCGGGUGUCUUCCCGUACGAACUGCUCUGGGGAACCCGCUUUAAAAGGCGACCGGGACCGGGGCGGCCGCCGAGGUGCUGUGCGGCCCCUGGCUCUGUGGCCGAAGCAGCAGCUCAGCUCGGCUCAGCUCCGCUCCACUCCAGCAGCACGGCGCUCAGCGGUGGGAGCGAGGCCCUGCGCGGCUAGGAGGAAAGCGCUUUCCUGGAUGGAGUCGUAGAAACCCAACUGCGAAGGACCCGCGUGGAACACUACUAGAACGUGAUGACACUUUGGAAUAACAGACAGUGCUUGGUCCCUGAGAAGAGCAAGGGGCACACGGGGGCUGUUUGGCAGGAUUCAUCACGCGGGGCACUGAGAGACCCACAGGAGUUCACGUCAUAUCCUGCAAACCUGAGUGCACAUGGGGAAUGCUGAGGUCAUACUACAUCAGUGCUGCUGCAGAAACGUCAGAUUUUCUUCUGCCAGUCUCUGCUUUCAUUGAAAAGCAACCAUCUUCUGCUGGUAAACAAAAGAAGCGCAUGGCAGUUGCUGUGUAAGGCCAGUAAAAUAAUCAGAAGUCCAUUGUGAAAAUACAGCCUUUGGUCCUUCAGAAGUCCGUACAGUUGGCACAGCAAUGUGGGCAGGUCCUGCUGUGCUCCCAGGGGUGCACAGCCCCCAGCUCACUGCUGGGUGCAGCCACAGGCACAGCCCUGAUACCCACAGCAAUGGCAUGAAAAGAGGAAACAUUUAUUUUGCAAAAGCUUUUAAAUGCAGCUGUCCCACUUCUCAUUUGUUGCUAGAGCUGACAAAAAAAAAAAAAAAAAAAAAAAGGGAUUUUUAUAAAUGAACAUAUGAAUCCAUUCCAUGAGAAAACAAACCACCGCUGUUAUUGUAUGACCAAUGUUUACACCAAGUAUUUUUGGUGUGUAGAAAGCUGCAAGCAGGCUGUUUGUUUAUGCAGCAUUGGCAGCUCAAACACUCCCUGCUGAAGGACCAGUGUUCAGCAAUUCUUUGCUAAAGGGUUUUUCUGCUCGUGCCUCUCUCCAUGCAUGUCUGCCCCGGUGCCUGAGGUGUGGGAGCUCCCUGCACAGCCCUCGUGCUGUCUCUCCCUUCAUGGGAGGCACACAGAGGUCUGGGAAGAAACAUGGGGGCAAAGAGUUGUGAAGAACGGGGCUGGGGGAGGCACAGCCUGCAGCAUGGCUUGCAGGUGCGCUGGCGGCUUGGGAUUCCCUCUGGGACAUUACCAUGAUGCUGGGCCAGCAUGUGGCAGGGUAAUGUCCCGGAGUACUGGGGUACACCUAUGUCCCAGAGCUCACUUCCCAGCCUGAAGCCUUGUGAGUCAGAGUCGCAGGGAAGAAACUCUCCCAGAUCCUGGUAAGUUCCUCAGAAGUGUCAGGAGGUGAGAUGGCGCACCAGCCUCAUGUUGGCAGCAAAGAGCAGUGGCACAUUUGGUUUUCUGCCAGGGAGUUUCUGCUUGCCAGAAGCCUUUCACAUGAAGUGUUUGUCUUUGUCUUACUCUGCUCAUGUCUUUAGAGCUGGAAGCAAGAGGAAGCUGAGAGUCUUGUUCAGUAUCUGAGAAGUACCUGCCUUCCUUCCUCAUCUCCAUAAUUUCUUCUGUACAAGGAGGCACUUCUUUACCCACAUAUGUUUAACUUUCUCCCCUUAUCAGCUUGAUCUUCCCCAGAAUGUGUUCUGCUACCCAGCACACCGAUCAGAACGCUCUUCUCAAAAAUCCCCCUCCAAAUCCCACUGUUUGUCCUCGUUAAAAAUUAGAUGAUCAUCCUUGUUUUUUGGUUUUUUGUUUUGUUUUUUUCCCCUUGCUUUAUUUUAUCUAUAUGAACACAGGGCACAUCUUGUAAACUACAGCACGCAAUGACAAAUAGAGCAUUGUUCUCCCAAAGCUGAGAUUUCAGGCGGUGCAGUAGUGGUGCGUCUUGUCAAGGUUUGCUCUGGCUGCCCGAGUGCUGUAACUUUCUUACCUGGAGCUGGGAGGCUGUGUGCUGGUCACCCAGGAUCUGCAAAAAGCCCUUCUUUCACCAGCAGCUCACUGCCUUGCACAGCCUUAUGGAGCUUCAUAACGCCACUUCUGGUGGCUUUUUAUCUUAUGCUUCUGCGCACUUUAAAAAGUCCAGGAUUGGCACAAACACAGUCAAGAUUAAUCCCAUUCUAUCAAAGAGUAGAAAUUACUCUACCACAAGUGUAGUAAAGCUGGCCUCUGCACACCAUGAGCGGGACCAGGAGGUUUUCAGGCCAGACUGGCAAGAUUAUGGUUAUACAUUCCUAUAUGGCAGUAUUUUAAAAGGAAAAAUGCUGUAUAGAAAAGGUGUACUCAUGGCUAGUUUUAGAUUCCCUAAACUUAAAUGUUGACUUGGAUGGAAUGAUUUCUCUUCUAAUACUGGCAUAGGGCUCACUUAGAGAGAAGACCUGCCAUGCUGUCCUUGUACCUACUUUUGAUCCCAGUCUGUAGCUAUUUAGGAUUUGGUUAAUUUGUGAGUGUGGUGACAGAGAGGUGGGCAGUCGGCUGCAGUGCUGGUUGGUAGGGUGGGGGUACUUGGCUGUUGGCAUCUCCGUGCCUUUGUGGAAAGCUCGGGGCCAGUCCCCGUGGAUUGAAACCAGUAGGAAGGGCCAGACUGGCAAGCAGCUGUGGUCACACAGGGCUGUGUGCUGGGCAGCAGGCUCAACUCCCGACCAUCUGCAUCUAAAGAUGCUCUGGCCACUGGAGGGCCCUUCGUGGGCAGCGUGCUUUGGUUCUCCAGCCCUGCCGUGCCCUCUGCCCUGCACGCUGGUCUCUUUGGCUUCUAUCAGAUCCCUGCCCCUCUGGCGGUUGACUCUGUCUGCUGGAGCUCUCCCUUCUCUGGCCAACACACAGAUAGAUGUCUAUCACUGAAGUAUCACUCUUUUCCAGGCUGCUGCUAUAAAAUCAUCCAUGUGCUGCAAGAGCCCUUCCCACUCCACCUUCUACUCUUCCUAAAACUUUGCAAAAUCCACAGCGUUUUUGACACAUAAUAAGUAUUGUUGUUCACAAAAGAGAAAAGGGUCUGGGGGACCCUCAGGCAGAAGCCGGCAGCACUGCACAGGGCAGGGUGAGAUUUCCACUCCUAGGGUUGGGGACCAGAGCCUCCUGCCCUGCCUAUGGCUGCUCUGCCCUGCGGGCCCCUCGCAGCCCCCAGCCCUGGGGCACACGGGGUUUGGGCAGCAGGGAGGUUCAGCUCUCCAGCCCUUCCCCACAACAGGCACCACCAGCAGCGCGACUCUGACCACCCCACAGAGCUCAGCAGUGUUUCCUUUGGUGGGAGCUGAUGGGAGCAGCACAGGCUCCAGCCUGUCCUCAUGUCCAGGCACCCCGCAGGAAAAUGAGGUGAACAGAACUGCACUGCAACAGGGCCCAGAGCAUCCCUGGUCCCAGAUGCCGACCUCAGCCUUGUCUAUCCUUUAGGCCUUUACAUGCACUGGUCUGGGCUUGACACACAUAGGCAGACAGAGGUAUCUGCAGCUAGCAAAGCAGUGCUUGAUAACUGCACUCAUGAAUGGCAUUGAGCCUUUGUGAGAAAUCUCUGCCUAACUGAGCUGACACUUAAUGCCAGGCCCCGUUUUCAGCUUAUCCCAAUGUAAAAAAACUGUGCAUGUUAGUGGAGAGCAAAGCAAACGGGGGCAGAUACACACAGAUGGCUUUCAAGACCACAGUAGUUAUAUUUGACAAAGGCAUAUCUUAUUUUUUAUCAUUAUUAUCUUUGUUAUUUUUAUUCUUAUUUUCCUUAUUGUUUUUCUCAGCCAUCCUAUAAUUCAUACUUUGUGUUUUGAGCAUCUCAGACACUUGGAUGUAUAACUUUUGGGAGAAUUCUGCUUCAGGGUAGUUAGAUGUCUGCAAUAGCUGGCUUGAAAUCAGUGCAGACACUGCGCACACACGUCUCCAGAAUGUGGCCCUUUAUUUCACAAUGUCUGUCUCAGCCAUACAUAUGGAAACAUCAGGUGUUUAUUGGUGCCACAAACUAAGUUCAUUAGGUCUCAUCACAACGGAUUGACUUGCAGUACCAGAGACACGGGACCAAUUAGCUGAUUAGAGGAUUCAGUACUGAAUAUAGCUGUGUGACACUGCUGCCAUUUUUAAAAGGAGGAAAUGGUGAAUAAUUCAAAGCGUCUUCUAAUACUAAACAGUAUUUUUUGGAACAUAAGCCAGAGAGACAGGAGGGCACUUAGGAACGUGCUUUAUUUUAAGGUUCUGAAUAAUUGCUCUGAAAUCACACCUUGGGACAUAUAAGCCCAUUUCAAUUCAAAACCAGAGCCUCCAGUUCACAAAUGAAUACAGUUUUUGGCAUCAGAAGUGACUUUGUGAAAGGAAUUGAAGGAAUAAAAAGGAAUGUUCUUUCAAA